CACCGCCCGUCACACCCUGGGAAUUGGUUUCGCCCGAAGUAUCGGACCAAUGAUCACCCAUGACUUCUGUGUACCACUAGUGCCACAAAGGCCUUUGGUGGUCUUAUUGGUGCAUACCACGGUGGGGUCUUCGACUGGGGUGAAGUCGUAACAAGGUAGCCGUAGGGGAACCUGUGGCUG
rfam:Triticum aestivum genome assembly, contig: Triticum_aestivum_CS42_TGACv1_scaffold_196621_3AL